GCAAGAAUGAGACCGGUGGAAUAUAUGUGCCGAAGAAGUGACAUUUACUGGCCCUGCUAGCGUUAGCGCUGUGCUAGCGUGUUGCUGCUGUAACCGGCGUGUCUCAGUGAUAUUUACCGGUCGGCGGACGGCGGCGGGGGCGGCGUUUACUUCUGCAUGCUGAGCACCAGGCGGCUAGUGGCCAUCUUGAUCUUGUUCUGGGCCUCCAGGUGCGUCAGGCCCUCGGUGCUGACCCCGUCGAUAGCCGAGAUGAUGUCGCCCUGCGCCAGGCUGCCGCCCGACGCUUUGCUGCCGGGUGUUAUCUGCGGUGGACACACACACACAAACACACACCCAUUCCUUAGGAGGCGCACGUGCAAAAAAAAACAAAACUCCAAGAAAACCUCCGUUUACAGGGAAAAAAUUGUUUUCAAAUAAAUAAAGUUUCCAAUCAAGAAAAAAUAUAUAUCUAAUUUUUACAGUGGUGAAUGGUUAACAAUAUUUAAAAAAAAAACCAAAAACCUCAUCAGUCAUUGUUUUGGUUAGCUUGCCCCAAUGAGCGCGCCGGCCCUUUAAGACGAGACAGUAUCGGGUCUAAAUUUACAUGCAACUCGUUAAAGAGUUAAAAAUAUGCCAUGCUGUUGAUGCCCGAGUGACCCCCCCACCCCCCUUGAAAACACACACCUGCCACCAACAUUCACUCGUAUAAAUCCAGAAAUUUUCUUUCUUGCGUCAACAUUUCAAAGAGCUUCCAAAUAAUAUUCCAGUCAUCUUGACAUUUCCCCCCUUUUAAUUCUUUGAAGUUGCUUUUUUUUUGGGGGGGGGGGGCACAAAAAGAAGAUUAUACCUUUGCACAUACGACCCCCCCCUCCAAGGUUACACUCAUGUUUAUGUUGAAGAUCGCCGACAACUUUGAGAGAUUGGAGAGUUCUACUUCUAUUUGCCGUACAUAUCAUAUUCGUGUAUAAAUAGGAAUACUUUAGAUAGCAAGUGAUGCAGAACUAUGUUGUGUUGUUCUUGAGAACUCCUUAUGGCAAAAGUUGAUUGUUUCUCGGGAAAAAUUGGUAUUUUUUUUUCCAGGAAAAUGGUGGAUUUUAUCCAGAGGAAAAAAAUUGUUCUGCCGAAGGAGGCUUUUUUAUUGGGUGUGGGUGUGAUUUAAAAUUCUCCCAUUUGUUUUUUUAAAAAUGUACUUUAUCUUUAAAAUUAUCAUCUUUUCAGAAUUUGCAGUAUUUUUCGAGGAGGUGUGGGUGGUGGAACAAAUCUUUUUCCUGGCAAAUGUUUAUCGGCGACCGUAAAUAUCAGACGCCGGGAUCAGAACCCGUCGCCUGCCGGCCCGUGAGCCCCGCGAUCAGGGAACGAUCCGGAACAAUUUCCACACAACGUUUUUUUUUUUUUUUUUUCCACUUGUGCGUCGGCGUUGACCCCGGAAUAGGCGAGCCCCUCGCUCCCUUGCUCAGCCCGUCUUCCCUGCGCCAUCCCGACGCUAUUUAAAGGAAAUGCUGUAAUUACAACAAAGGGCCUGUUGGGGGGGGGGGGGUGUGCAGGACCCCUGACCCCGCCUGCCCUGAAACCGCAACCGCCUUUUCCAAAACAAACUCCUACUGAGUCUAUUCCUCGGCUAGCAACCAUUUCAACUCAACUACGAUAAUCUUCACUAAUAUGAUCAUAAUGAAAAUGUUUAUGCGGUGAUGUGCUACUUUUACUCCAUUACAUUUACUCAAGUAACUCACUCUCUCGUUCUUUCGGCUUGUCCUCUUAGAGGUCGCUCAUAUUUGUUUGGGACGUUUUUUUUACAUUUUCAAUAUACAGUACUUGUCAGAGUGCUUGAAAUGCACUGUCCUUUUUUACUUUUACUUGAGUCUCGAUGUGAAUAAGUACGGAUACCUUUACUCCGUUACAUUUUUGGUCGACAUGCAGUUCGCUAUUUGUAUUGUCCCGACGUCUAUUUUUAGACUCCAUCUUGGAUUUCCGCACUGGGCACCGUAACGGCCAGUCCUAUGUGACCACUCGUGUCAUGUGACUGUUUUACCAAUCAGAUGACAGAAAGCAGUCACAUGAACUUGUACGUGUGUUUCUCAGCCAAUCAAAAGGAUUUUUGUUGGGGGGGGGCUUAAAAAAAAAAAAAAAAACAAAACAAACAACUUUGUUCUGCUCCUCUGAAAUGGCGAUGACUCUCCAAACUUGAAUGUUUCAGCUAAGUUGAGAAAAGACCUCGGGAUCAGUUUUAGAUGUUUCUGCUGUUGUUUUGGGGCGAGAUUCUCCGCGUCCUGUGGCGUUGCACUCGCGCACACACACGCGUCACCUUCUUCGUGAAGUCAUUGAAACGAAUCAAUCAAUCAAAUAGUCAAUCAAAUUGAUCAAUCAGCUUUCUGUAGGGCCCAGUGCACGUGUUGUUGUGUUUUGGGCUGUUUAAAAUUGAAAUGGCAAAUGUGUGUCUCAUUUUAAUUGAUGUUCACGCUCUGAAAUAUACAAAAAUAAUAGUCUCAAAUUACUCACAAAUUACAAGUCAAUAUUUCCAUGACUACUUUUACCCAAGUCGUAAUUAAGAAAAAGUAAGAAAGAUUGUAUGGCAACAUAAAAUGCUGUUGCCUAAUUUGCUGUCUUCCACAUUAAUGUGUACAGUAUGUAUUUUCAAACGUUGGGGUGCUCAAGCGCCCUCCAGGCGGCACGCCAGAUUACAAGUGUUAAUUGUUUUUGUGGCGUAACAGUUUAUUUUUCCUCCACCACAUAAAUCAAAUAAAAAAAUGAAAAUGGAUGAAAAACAAAGGUGAAAGUUGAAUGAAUGCAAUAAAUAUUAUUUACCAAAGUA